GACCUAAUGGUGAAACGGUAUCGCGUCCACACUUCAUAUAUAAUCAUCAUCCACAUUUCGCGGAAGUCCCCGUUUGAACCCGGGUUGGGUCG